rnacentral:rRNA from 1 species
GACGAACGCUGGCGGCGUGCCUAAUACAUGCAAGUCGAACGCUGAAGGAGGAGCUUGCUUCUCUGGAUGAGUUGCGAACGGGUGAGUAACGCGUAGGUAACCUGCCUGGUAGCGGGGGAUAACUAUUGGAAACGAUAGCUAAUACCGCAUAAGAGUAGAUGUUGCAUGACAUUUGCUUAAAAGGUGCAAUUGCAUCACUACCAGAUGGACCUGCGUUGUAUUAGCUAGUUGGUGGGGUAACGGCUCACCAAGGCGACGAUACAUAGCCGACCUGAGAGGGUGAUCGGCCACACUGGGACUGAGACACGGCCCAGACUCCUACGGGAGGCAGCAGUAGGGAAUCUUCGGCAAUGGACGGAAGUCUGACCGAGCAACGCCGCGUGAGUGAAGAAGGUUUUCGGAUCGUAAAGCUCUGUUGUAAGAGAAGAACGAGUGUGAGAGUGGAAAGUUCACACUGUGACGGUAUCUGAACAGAAAGGGACGGCUAACUACGUG